GGCCUGUUAGCUCAGUUUGUUAGAGCGCCGUGCUAAUAACGCGGAGGUCAUGAGUUCGAUCGUCUUACGGGCCA
rfam:Daphnia pulex DAPPTscaffold_189_Cont6801, whole genome shotgun sequence.